AUGAUAAAAUCAGCCGAAGCUUGAGCACAGAUAGAGAAAGAGUAUGAAACUUAGUGGUGAUUCAGAUUGGUUUACUAAAGCUUACAUUUUACUUACUCCGGAGUUCCUUUAUUUCAUUUUUUAUAUAGAAGAGUGUCGAAGUUUAUUAUGCUUAGGCCAUUAGACUUGAGCCUGUAGGUAGUUAGUCAUGGAUUUUUAUUAUGCCCACAUGCCCAUAUUUCGAGAGUUUGUUAGGAGAUUUCAAUAGAUUGUCCAUGUGUCCCCAUGAGUCGGUGGAUUGGUGCCGGCUUGUGGUCGAGGGGCCAUUUUGAUUAGAUCCAUAUCAACAUGGACUGUGGGAUUUUGCCUUUGGUAAUUGGCAGAAUCUUGACC
rnacentral:lncRNA from 1 species